CUAUAUAGCUUAUUUUACAAAUUCUUGGACAAAGUAUCAGUUGAUGAUAUACAUUGGGGAAAAAAGAAUCGAUAACUCAAUCAAAUCAAUGGUCGCAUCCAGCGUCAGAGGAUGAAUGGCAACCUAUAGCAAUCACGCGUGCUCUUGAUUGGUAUCUCCCUGCACGGCUCCGCUAUGGUCAAAUGCCUAGAGGGGAUGACGACAUCAUGUCCUUAGCAACGGUCGCGUCUCUACGGCAACAUCCUCCGAUGUCCCCUGCUGUCACCGUGACUCUCAUCUGUUGUCAGGGGGAAAAAACACCGUUUUCUCUCGGAUGGACUGAUGACUUUGGAGGAUGGUGUGUUGUCAUUGUCUGAGCGCGAGCGCCCACCGCAGCAGCCGUUUGUGUCUCGCGACUUGAGUGCCUAAAGUUAGAGUGGACAGGGUGCAACGUGGCCACGAGGACCCUCUCCUCCUCCUCAUCAUCAUCAUCAUCAUUAUCAUCAUCAUCAUCAUUGAUCAUCCUUUAUCCUGCACCAGACCGCCAGCCCGCGCCGUCUGCAGCCCGGAGCUGUUUGCUCUCAUCUGGACCAUUUUUAUUUUGCACCAAUCGGCUCUCAUCCAGCGGCGCGCGCGGCUGAAUGGAUCCCGCCGUGCUCAUCUUCCUGUUGUACGUGAUGAUCGCGCACGAGCUGGUCUGCGGCUUGGUGCAGUACCGAAAACUGAGCGCCAAGCCCCGAAAACGUGCAGCUGGACCUCUACUGCGCACGAGCGUCCAGGUGUGUCGGGGAGCAUGGAGGACCAGCAGCCAGUCGUUCCGGCCCGACAGAGGAGGGCGGGACCUGAGGAAGAGCGGACGCAUUGUGAGAAAAGCCUAAUAAAGACAGAAACUAUGGACACUUGCUGUAGAACAACUUGAAUGGCAGCAAACCGGGCCAAGCUAACAUCACCAGCAGAAUUUGCUCUCUGAGUGGCAGCGAGUACUGUGAAUGUGGCUCUACUGAGGUUUGGGAGACCAAUCCAGCAGAUGCCCUCUAUAGAUGCAGAUGGUUAAAAAAAAAACAUUUUGCAGUGAGGCUCAAAUUCUUUUGUGAGUUCUUUGUCUUAUAGUCCCAAUAAAAUCUGUGGUUAAUACACAUUA